GGCCCUUUGGAGACAUUCGAUAAAAUUGGAAUGACACAGAAAAAAUUAGCAUAGCUUCUGUGUAAAAAUGACACGCACAAUCGAGAAAUCGUCCAAAAAACU